rnacentral:rRNA from 1 species
UCUUUUCCUUUUGUUUCAGCAGCCGCGGUAAUACGUAUGGUGCAAGCGUUAUCCGGAUUUACUGGGUGUAAAGGGAGCGUAGACGGAGUGGCAAGUCUGAUGUGAAAACCCGGGGCUCAACCCCGGGACUGCAUUGGAAACUGUCAAUCUAGAGUACCGGAGAGGUAAGCGGAAUUCCUAGUGUAGCGGUGAAAUGCGUAGAUAUUAGGAGGAACACCAGUGGCGAAGGCGGCUUACUGGACGGUAACUGACGUUGAGGCUCGAAAGCGUGGGGAGCAAACAGG